rnacentral:rRNA from 1 species
AGCAGCCGCGGUAAUUCCAGCUCCAAUAGCGUAUAUUAAAGUUGUUGCAGUUAAAAAGCUCGUAGUUGAAUUUCGGGAUUAGUACGCUGGUCGUGCCUUCGGUAUGUACUGGUGUUACUGGUUCCUACCUUCUGACGAACCGUCAUGUCAUUAAUUUGGUGUGGCGGGGAAUCAGGACUGUUACUUUGAAAAAAUUAGAGUGUUUAAAGCAGGCUCGCGCUUGAAUACAUUAGCAUGGAAUAAUGAAAUGGGACGUUCGAUCCUAUUUUGUUGGUUUCUAGGAUUGACGUAAUGAUUAAUAGGGAUAGUUGGGGGCAUUAGUAUUCAAUUGUCAGAGGUGAAAUUCUUGGAUUUAUUGAAGACUAACUACUGCGAAAGCAUUUGCCAAGGAUGUUUUCAUUAAUCAAGAACGAAAGUUAGGGGAUCGAAGACGAUCAGAUACCGUCGUAGUCUUAAACCAUAAAACCUAUAGCCGACUAGGGAUCGGAUGAUGUUAUUUUUAAUGAACUCAUUCGGCGCC